CACGUCUGCUGCUCACUUCAGGUACAGCUCUUCUUACUGCGGUAAACAUUGCUGCUCUGUUACUAUAAAAACAGCGGUGGAGCCAACGUGUCUGUGGCUGCAAUCUCCCCAGAGGUCCAUCGCUUCUGUGUUUCACGGGACGUCCCCUUGCUCGCAGGUGGCCCGUGGUUCGGGAAGCAGAGCGCCGGAGCGCAGUCUCAAUGUGCCUUUUCAAGGGCCGAUGGAAGAGGACGCAAGUCGACUGGGUUUCCGACAGAAACGGCACACAGCGCCGCCGUCUCCCGGUGCUCGGUCCACCCAGGAUGGCGCGAUGGAUUGGUAACCCGGAAAAAGUGGAAACGAGGCGAGGAGCUGUUUGCGAUUUUUAUUUUGAGGCAUGAAAGCGAAGGUUUCUGAAACGCCUCCUUGUUUCGUGCCUCUGCCGACACGAUGAGCGAUUAAGUCAUUAGCGGCUCUGCCAACGAGCGCCUGCUCCGACAGCAUGGCACCUCUUCAAUUAAUUUGCGAGCGAACUUUCUUUUUGGAUGCGCCGGCUCAGCAUAAGCACUGGGCUUUGGAUAAAUAUUUAUCAUCUUGUUUACAAAAUCCUGUCUUGGUGCAUUUGAAGUCAAGAGGGGCCAAUUUUCUCUAGUUUUUUUUUUUUUGACACAAAAACAAAUUUGUUCAUUCGUCCGGGGGACAACAAAAAAAAAAAAAAACUUUUGGCAUUUAAUUUGUACUGCUAAUUUAAACCCAUGAAUGUGGGAGGUUCGAGAGUUUGAGCCGAAGCUCCUUCUCCGGGUGCGAACUUGCUGCGAACUUGCUGUCGGCCCUCUGGCCGAUUGCGGUGGCUCAUGUACCCCCCCCGUGGACAGCACCACCCCUGACCGCACCCGUCCUUUCCUUCAACGCUAUACGAACGAGGAGUGGAAUGAGGAUUAACGGCCGAUCCUCACGUCCCCUUCCCCUCAACUCCCGCUUCCUUCCCUGCAUCCGUGCAUCUUCCUCUAUCUCUCUCUCUCUCUCUCUCUCUCUCUCUCUCCUUGUUUCUUUCGCUCCGUGACGCACGCAGGAUUAAUCGGUGUCCCCAGAAGAGAGAAACACCUGCUGUCUAUUCAUCAGAGCUGUUCAGAAAUAGUGCUGGCCUGCAGGAUUCUCAGGUGGGGGAGCAGGGGGUGGUGGGGUGGCCUGGGUUUUCCCCUCCCACAAGGAAUGAUGCGCACAACCUCUCCCCGAACGCGGUGUUACAAUUUUUC
rnacentral:lncRNA from 1 species